UUCCAAUUGAGUUACAGCACUAACAAAUCUGCUGUAAUUACAGUGUAUUGAAUUAUCAGAGCUGCACCUCUUUCACAAAAGGAGAGAUGUGCUGUAUGUUAGUUUGGAAACCAAACAGAUAAACCACAACUCAAAAGACAGAAGACGGUAUGUUAAUGGAAGGAAAAAAAGUUUCUCUUUUUUGGGUGUGUGGAAUCAGAGCAUUAACCAACUGAUUGCUUGUCUUCCACUCUAAGUGCCUAUUAUUCAUCCCAACAAAAUGCAUAUCAGGAAAAUUGCAGCCUGGCCAGCUUAUUUGCUUCAAGUGCUGCUGCUGAGCUACUCUGAGAGCAAAAUGAAAGAAAAUGGCUUGUGCUCGUAGUUUGAAAUAACACAGAGAAAGGAGGAGGAAAAAGUCUUGUACUCCCUCUCAGUCUAAAUGCAGGCCUGUUUUAUUGUGAAUUAAAUUGAAGUGGAACACAAGAGGAGGAAGAGUUUGAAAUGCGGAGAGCAGAAGAGGAAGGGCAGGGAGAAGGGAGAGAUAAGGGCUGAGAGGCUUAGAGACAGGAAGAGAGCAGAAUGAGGAGGAAGCAUGGAGGCAGAGAAAGUUGGGGAGGGUGGGGUGGGGGGGAUGCUGAAUCAGAGUGGGAAGAGAGAGAUGCUGCGAUAAGUACUGCAGAGAGGAAGUGGGGCUGUCAAGAUAAAGACAGACUCAGACAGAGGGAGAAGGAGAUUAGAGGCAGACUCCGACAUUUCGAAGAACGACAAGGAAAGAAGGGAAGCAAGUAAAAAGACGAAGAAAAAGAGCGACAGAAAAGGGGAAAGACAGGCAGAGGAAAGAGAGAAAGAGAGAGAGGCCAAGGAAGUGUCUUCGGGGUGCCAGGCAGGAGGAAGUGCCAGCCGCCGUAACCACGGCAGUGGCACUGGUCGCUAUGGGAACCAGCAGAGCCGGGGAAAAAAAAAGAAGAAGAAGAAACACAGUUCGGUCAUCGAGGCCAAACUGACUCUGUCCUUCCUCUUUUUUUUCUCAAGGAAGGAAAAACAAGAGGAAAUUAUGUGAAGCAGCAUUCACUGUUUGUAACCUUUUGGUAUUUUACCUCCAGUCAGACGAUCUGUUUCUCCACUUGGAAUCCUACUUGUGGGAAAUUAGUUAUGUGAGGAAAAAAUAGCAUGUGGGACAAACAACCUGCAGCACAUGUCCACACUUAUGGGAUGAUUGCUGUGACAUUUUAAGGACAGAUGGCAGAAGCUGCCACUGUAGCUGUAGGUUAUUGAGCAGAGCGGCACAGGGUCAGGUUCAUUCAACUACUUACUAAAGCUGUAGCGCUUAGGCUACAUUAGAAUCCAUUGUUAAAAUCCUCCCGGCCCACAUCCUACAAGACUGUUGCCUGACCUGGAAGUGGAGGAGCUGUGGUGCAGCCAUGCACUUUCUAUUACAAGGAACUUGUAACAGAAACCUUAGAGGUUACUGGAUGUCAGGCUGCAUCAGACACAACUGUUACUAGAUAGGGCUGGAUCUGCGUUUUCAUGCAUUAAUACCUUCCAAACGUCCACCAUUAUCAUAUAAGUAUGAAGAGAGUGGAGUCGAAUGCAGUUUAGUUAAGCCUAGAUUAAAUGAUUGUGAUAUAUCAGCUAGCAAAAAGCAUUAUCUUUUAGUUUUGGGCA
ensembl:lncRNA